UACGGAGGGUGCAAGCGUUAAUCGGAAUUACUGGGCGUAAAGCGCACGCAGGCGGUUUGUUAAGUCAGAUGUGAAAUCCCCGGGCUCAACCUGGGAACUGCAUCUGAUACUGGCAAGCGUGAGUCUCGUAGAGGGGGGUAGAAUUCCAGGUGUAGCGGUGAAAUGCGUAGAGAUCUGGAGGAAUACCGGUGGCGAAGGCGGCCCCCUGGACGAAGACUGACGCUCAGGUGCGAAAGCGUGUUUUGCUUUCUUU
rnacentral:rRNA from 1 species